UAGGGAAUCUUCCGCAAUGGACGCAAGUCUGACGGAGCAACGCCGCGUGAGUGAAGAAGGUUUUCGGAUCGUAAAACUCUGUUGUAAGAGAAGAACAAAUUGUAGAGUAACUGCUACAGUCUUGACGGUAUCUUACCAGAAAGCCACGGCUAACUACGUGCCAGCAGCCGCGGUAAUACGUAGGUGGCAAGCGUUGUCCGGAUUUAUUGGGCGUAAAGGGGGCGCAGGCUGCUUCUUAAGUCUGAUGUGAAAGCCCACGGCUUAACCGUGGAAGUGCAUUGGAAACUGGGAAGCUUGAGUACAGAAGAGGAAAGUGGAACUCCAUGUGUAGCGGUGGAAUGCGUAGAGAUUAGGAGGAACACCGGUGGCGAAAGCGGCUUUUUGGCCUGCAACUGACACUGAGGCGCGAAAGCGUGGGGAGCAAACAGG
rnacentral:rRNA from 1 species